ensembl:snRNA Gm23216 predicted gene, 23216
GUGCUUUCUUCAGGAGCAUGUAUGCUAAAACUGGCAUGAUGUAGAGAAUAGCAUGGCCCCUGCACAAGGAUGCCAUGCAAAUCUGUGAAGCAUCCGAAAUUUUU